rnacentral:sRNA from 1 species
GAGCCCUUAAAAUGUUCUUCUACAUUCUAAAUCUAUUUCUGGCUAUAUUUUAUUUUAUUUAACACUUAUUUUUGUUUUGCUUUCUAAAUUAUAUCGUGUAAACCAAGGGAUUAGGUGCAAAGUUUAUAUAUAGUUAGCCUCCGAUUUUAAGAUGUUAUUAAUUCAUAUACACAAUUAUAAGGAUCUUUAUAC